ACAGCAUGUAGUCGGCUUCAGUGUCCCACAAAAGAAAGUAUUGUAGCAGAUAACUGCUUCUAGGAUCCCUGCUGUCAGAGAAAAUAAGCAAGUUAUAACUUCUCCAUGGUGCUGCUAGAGAGCAUUUUCAAUGGUGCCUGUUGCUUCACUCGGAUGCUACAUGUUGUUUCUCUCUGAACUUGGACCAUUGAGUAACUGGCCUUGAGGAACACCUUGAAUAUCAGCCUCUAAACAGCCUCUAAAGCCUGUACAACAGCCCCAGACCAAGACACCAGGGGAAUAGCAGGUCAGAGAUGGCAGACUGCAUACAACCAUAUCACAGAACUCCAACAACCUCUCCAGCCCACUUCUUGGACUCAGUCUUUAGAUCAAGGUCUGUGUGAUAAUUCUGCAACAAAAUAAGAAGAAGAUGGAUUGGAACUCUGCCACCAGAAACUUGAGGCAAUGGUCUAGCUGCAAUCUCAAAACUGAGCAUUAUGGGAAAGUCUUUGAAGAGUAGAGGCCUCAGGGACAAUUUUGAAAUUGACUUCACCCUUAUGAUGUCUGUGAAGCGGAG
rnacentral:lncRNA from 1 species